UAAAACACUGCGGCAGCUUAACCAUGCAAGUCGAGCGGAAACGAUGAUAGCUUGCUAUCAGGCGUCGAGCGGCGGACGGGUGAGUAAUACUUAGGAAUCUACCUAGUAGUGGGGGAUAGCUCGGGGAAACUCGAAUUAAUACCGCAUACGACCUACGGGAGAAAGGGGGCAACUUGUUGCUCUCGCUAUUAGAUGAGCCUAAGUCGGAUUAGCUAGAUGGUGGGGUAAAGGCCUACCAUGGCGACGAUCUGUAGCUGGUCUGAGAGGAUGAUCAGCCACACCGGGACUGAGACACGGCCCGGACUCCUACGGGAGGCAGCAGUGGGGAAUAUUGGACAAUGGGGGCAACCCUGAUCCAGCCAUGCCGCGUGUGUGAAGAAGGCCUUUUGGUUGUAAAGCACUUUAAGCAGUGAAGAAGACUCCAUGGUUAAUACCCAUGGACGAUGACAUUAGCUGCAGAAUAAGCACCGGCUAACUCUGUGCCAGCAGCCGCGGUAAU
rnacentral:rRNA from 1 species